CACCAGUACCAAUCCCCGGAAAUUUUCUGGCUUUUCAGCCAAGCCCAACAACUCUGGGGAAGCCCCCUCGAGCCCCACCCCUAAGAGAAGUCUGUCUUCAAGCAAAUGUGACCCCAGGCAUAAGGACUGUCUGCUACGGGAGUUUCGAAAGUUAUGCGCCAUGGUGGCCGAUAAUCCUAGCUACAACACGAAGACCCAGAUCAUCCAGGACUUCCUUCGGAAAGGCUCAGCAGGAGAUGGUUUCCACGGUGAUGUGUACCUAACAGUGAAGCUGCUGCUGCCAGGAGUCAUUAAGACUGUUUACAACUUGAAUGAUAAGCAGAUUGUGAAGCUUUUCAGUCGCAUUUUUAACUGCAACCCAGAUGAUAUGGCACGGGACCUAGAGCAGGUCAGAGGAACGGGAGGGAGGGUAGGCUACAUUCCAGGUGGGGUUUUGCCAAGCCAGGCACCUGCAGCCUCUUUUUUUUUUCUGGUUGGGACACAUACUGUUUUAGGAAACUGAAACCCAUUUGAGCAAGCUUCCGUUAUAGGGGGAGCUGAAUGUGAGGCUAUAGCUCUUAAUUUCGUAAGUUUCUGAGGGUGGAAAC
rnacentral:sRNA from 1 species